UGGGGAAUUUUCCGCAAUGGGCGAAAGCCUGACGGAGCAAUACCGCGUGAGGGAGGAAUGCCUUUGGGUUGUAAACCUCUUUUCUCAGGGAAGAAGACCUGACGGUACCUGAGGAAUAAGUAUCGGCUAACUCCGUGCCAGCAGCCGCGGUAAUACGGAGGAUGCAAGCGUUAUCCGGAAUCAUUGGGCGUAAAGCGUCCGCAGGUGGUUUCCAAAGUCUGCUGUUAAAGACUGGAGCUCAACUCCGGAACGGCGGUGGAAACUUGGAAACUAGAGUUCGGUAGGGGUAGCAGGAAUUCCCAGUGUAGCGGUGAAAUGCGUAGAUAUUGGGAAGAACAUCGGUGGCGAAGGCGUGCUACUGGACCGUAACUGACACUCAGGGACGAAAGCUAGGGGAGCGAAAGGGAUUGGAUACCCCUGUAGUCCUAGCUGUAAACGAUGGAAACUAGGUGUGGCUUGA
rnacentral:rRNA from 1 species